rnacentral:misc_RNA from 1 species
CCGAUCAAGGCGAUUAGCCGUCUUAGCCUCGAGAAAGAGGAUUGAUUCAUCGUUCAUAGCAAUAAGGUCUGGCUCAGUGACAGACAUACAAUCCAUCCAACAUUUGAGUACAUGAUAAUCCAGGGUGGGGGGGACUAGGCUAACUUAGUACAGUAGCACAAAAUUAAAGAGGUUCUGCAUAGUACCAUAGCUUUGUUUCUUACCAUUUCAUUCAUUCCAUUAUUACUGAUUGAGAGACAUGAGACGACGGAAAUGCAAUCCAAGGCAGAUGGAUGGAGAUGACUACGGAAAGAAAGGGUUCACUCGGAUCUGGCGGCGUAUCGUUCCACCUUGGGGUCGUUGAGGUUGAUGCCGACCAUGGCCUCCCCGAGCCCCGUGCUGACGUCGGCCAGGAUGGUGGGGUCGCUGUAGUGGGUGACUGCCUGGACGAUGGCGCGGGCGCGGCGCGCGGGGUCGCCGCUCUUGAAGAUGCCCGAGCCGACGAAGACGCCGUCGCAUCCGAGCUGCAUCAUGAGCGCGGCGUCGGCGGGCGUGGCGACACCCCCCGCGGCGAACUGCACGACGGGGAGGCGGCCCAGCUGCUUGGUCUGCAUGACGAGGUCGUAGGGCGCGGCGAUGCGCUUGGCGUAGGCGAAGACCUCGUCGUCGUCCAUGCUGCGGAGCGCGCGGACGUCGCCCAUGACGGAGCGCACGUGGCGCACGGCCUCGACGACGUUGCCCGUGCCGGCCUCCCCCUUGGUGCGGAUCAUGGCGGCGCCCUCGCGCACCCUGCGGAGCGCCUCGCCGAGGUCGCGGCAGCCGCAGACGAAGGGGACGCGGAAGUUGUGCUUGUUGAUGUGGUGCGCGUCGUCGGCGGGGGUCAGCACCUCGCUCUCGUCCACGUAGUCGACGCCCACGGCCUCCAGGAUCUGGGCCUCCACGAAGUGCCCGAUGCGGGCCUUGGCCAUGACCGGGAUGGUGACGGCGCGCUUGAUGUCGCGGAUGAGGCCCGGGUCCGACAUGCGCGCCACGCCGCCCUGCGCGCGGAUGUCGGCGGGGACCCGCUCCAGCGCCAUCACGGCGCACGCGCCGGCCUCCUCCGCGAGGCGCGCCUGCUCCGGGGUCACCACGUCCAUGAUGACCCCGCCCCGGAGCAUCUGCGCCAGCCCCACCUUGACGGAGAAAGUCGCCGACUUGGGCUGCUUGGACGGCUCCAGCAGCUCCGCGCCGUUGCUGCCGUACACCGUCACCACGCCGCUGCCGUCGGACGCCAUGGGUUUGGUUCGCUUGUGCCUAGCCUUGUGUGGAAUGGAAUGGAUUGGUUUCCUCGAUCCGGGUGCCUUUGUAUCCUCUCUCGGGAAGGUUCCAGUCAGGCUCAGGGGAGAGAAGAGGAGGGCGGCGGCGGGGUGGGGUGG